CCUGGUUGAUCCUGCCAGUAGUCAUAUGCUUGUCUCAAAGGUUAAGCCAUGCAUGUCUAAGUACACACUUUGGUAAAGUGAAACCGCGAAUGGCUCAUUAAAUCAGCUACAAUUUAUUAGAUCGUACACUGUUACUUGGAUAACUGUGGGAAUUCUAGAGCUAAUACAUGCCGAGAGUCUCUGCUCUUCGGGGCAGAGCGCAGUUAUUAGACCAAAACCAGCCGUAUUCUCCGGGGUACGCUCUUUUGGUGACUCUGGAUAACCUUCAGCCGAUCGCAUGGCCUCGUGCCGGCGACGUAUCUUUCAAGUGUCUGCCCUAUCAACUUUCGAUGGUACGUGAUAUGCCUACCAUGGUGAUAACGGGUAACGGGGAAUCAGGGUUCGAUUCCGGAGAGGGAGCCUGAGAAAUGGCUACCACAUCCAAGGAUGGCAGCAGGCGCGCAAAUUACCCACUCCCAGCUUGGGGAGGUAGUGACGAAAAAUAACAAUGCGGGACUCUAAGAGGCCCCGUAAUUGGAAUGAGUACACCUUAAAUCGUUUAACGAGUUUCAAUUGGAGGGCAAGUCUGGUGCCAGCAGCCGCGGUAAUUCCAGCUCUAAUAGCGUAUAUUAAAGUUGCUGCAGUUAAAAAGCUCGUAGUUGGAUCUGGGGCUUGAGGUCGCUGUCUAUCGUUUCGGCGAUGACGGUGAUGCUCAGCUCUGCUUGCCGGUGACUGUUGCGGUGUUCUUCACUGAGCGCUGUAGCAGCACGGCACGUUUACUUUGAAAUAAUUAGAGUGCUCAAAGCGUGCUUGUCGCUUGAAUAAUGUUGCAUGGAAUAAUGGAAUAGGACCUCGGUUCUAUUUUGUUGGUUUUCGGAGCUUGAGGUAAUGAUUAAGAGGGACGAACGGGGGCAUUCGUAUUGCGGUGUUAGAGGUGAAAUUCUUGGAUCGCCGCAAGACGGACUACUGCGAAAGCAUUUGCCAAGAACGCUUUCAUUAAUUAAGAACGAAAGUCAGAGGUUCGAAGACGAUCAGACACCGUCCUAGUUCUGACCAUAAACGAUGCCGACCAGCGAUCCGUAGUGGUUGCUUUAUGGACCCUACGGGCAGCCUCCGGGAAACCAAAGUAUUUGGGUUCCGGGGGAAGUAUGGUUGCAAAGCUGAAACUUAAAGGAAUUGACGGAAGGGCACACCAGGAGUGGAGCCUGCGGCUUAAUUUGACCCAACACGGGAAAACUCACCCGGUCCGGACACCGUAAGGAUUGACAGACUGAUAGCUCUUUCUUGAUUCGGUGGAUGGUGGUGCAUGGCCGUUCUUAGUUGGUGGAGUGAUUUGUCUGGUUAAUUCCGAUAACGAACGAGACUCUAGCCUGCUAAGUAGUG
rnacentral:rRNA from 1 species